CCUGCCCUCAGGAGGGAAUCUGCCUGAGUAUCUGUUAAUAGCUAGUUUCACCUGAAACUAGGUACGACUGAAACCUUUUCUACGAUAGAACACUCCUGGACGAAUGAGGGACUACACCGUCUAGUAAGGUUAAGCAACCACGCCAGCUUGCUCUAACUGGGGCUCCUGGCACCGGGAUGCCAUCGCAGCCCAGCCGUGCUCUUCCAACAACCACAGCAGCUGGCUUCAGUAGGGGCCUUCAGCACUGGGAUGCCAGUAUCUUCCAUAUCCCAGCUUCACUAGUCCAAGAAGCUCAUGUCAGCUUGAGCAGUCAGUGCCCCUCCCCCUCCCGCCUACUUCCAACAGCCACAGCAGUUCACUCUAGCAGGGGAACCUGGCACCGGGAUGCCAGUGCCUCCUGCCGCCAUACGUCCAGCAAUCACAGCGGCCAUCGUUAGCAGGGGAACCUGGCACUGGGAUCGCUACCUGCUGCCUACUACAAGCAACUGCAGCAGCUUGCCUCAGCUGGGGCUCCUGGCACCACCACCAGCAGUCCACUUCCAGCAGUCGAGGCAUUCGACGAUGGGGUGCCAGAGCCCCCUGCCGCCCACUUCCAGCAACUGCUGCAACCUGCUCCAGACAGGGCUUAUGGCACCAGGAUGCCAGGAUCUUCCAUCUCCCAGUCCCUGCAGCUCUCAUCCACUGUAGUCUUCCGCACCAGGAUGCCGGUGCCCAGCUUUCCUCCACAGCCCUUGCAGCACCAUGAUCCUUCCAUACUUAACUCUGGUCUUUCCUCUCACCCUUUUCCAGCCCAGCAGGCAACUAUCAACUUCACCCCGUUUAUAGCCAGUCCUCCCAUUUGUCAUCCUAACCUUUAUCUCCUAUCCUUCUCCAGUUCCCACCAGUCUAUGUCAACAGAUCAUAGACAUACACAGAUUUUGCUCUCCUCAUCAUGCCUUCCCUUCAUCAACCACCUACUGACAGAUUCCUUGAAGGACACAAAGGGCAACUCUACUUGAAAUGGAGAACACCAACAGACUUUGCUCAUGCUUUCUAUCUCUUCAGAGAUGUGGUUUACAAUUUCCCACCUACCAGCAGGAAAUGGACAAUUAUUUGGUCAUCAUACUUAAUCUGGCCCUCCAUUUUGGAGGUAAUGGUUUCUACCAUAUCACAUCCACUCUGCUUUCAAAGCCGCAGCCCGUCUUCAGCAGGCCAAUGAGAACAGGCCAGGGCACACUUGACAAUUAAAUUACUGCCGCAUCCUCGCUACCCAUGCAGCCCUACCAUGCUCUACAUGUGGUGCCCCUUCUCACCCAGCCUCUUCCCGAUCUGUUGCCACCCACACUAAGCCAAUUUCCUCCUCGACUGAUGCUGCACCAAAUGCCAACUUCUCUACCCCCUAGGUCACCUCAUCUUUGCCUAUGUAUCAUUCUUCAAGGGCGAACCUUAUCUCUGACUUACUAUCAUUUGCUUUCCAUUGUCAGUGAAUAAACUAACUAUUCCAUCUCCCUGGACGUUCCAAGCCAUGCCAAACUCUGUGUUUGCUUCAAACUUUUCGCCAAAUGGAACGGGAUAACCUUAUUCUAUGACUUACAACUGACUCACCCACAUGACAUCCAUCUGUACGCUGACCCUGCUUCUUCUGUCGGGGUUGGGGGUUUCUACAAUGGAAGAUGGGUUGCAGAAGAAUAGCUCGCAAGUUAAUGCCAGGUCGCUUCCUCCGCUCUCUUCGAAAUCUACCCCAUAAUUACCGCAGCUAUUCCGUGGGUCCACGAACGGUCGUGCAAAGCCCAUUCUCUUACUUCGACAACCUCGCAGAUGUAGACAUAAUCAGCAAGUUCGCUCCAAUGCCCAAUCUAUCAUACAGUCCAUGCAUUCCUAACAUGGCACUCCGUUAACACACCUAUAUUUUCUCUGCGCAGCCCAUGUUCACGAUUCCAGUGCCAUCGCUGACUCCUGUUGCCCAUUUCAGAAGUUCAGAGGCUCGGACCCUCCGGUGGAUAUCUUCAACAGCUUAUCACCAUCUCAUCUUACUUGAAAGCUUAGAAGAGUUUCUGUUACCUUCACAACAGUAUAACAUAACAACCCGUUCAUCAAUUUCGUAACCAUGACCCGUUUUGUUACUCAAGCCCUUUUCGUGAUGGACAUCAAAACAUGUAUUAUCAAAGUUUACCCUAGCAGCUUUAGCAUCUCUAAAUCCUAACUGGCAGCCCGGGUCUGGCCUCCAGCCAUCCUCUGAUAACUUAACUUCUCAGAGGACUUAUUUGUCAAGAGCCAGCUCAAGUCCUUGCCACCUUCCUCUUACCACUGACUUGCUGUCAGUCUGCAUCCACACCAUCUACUCUGGAUACAGCCUCCCCAGUGUUGCUCAAACUGUAAAAGCCAUGUUCUCGCUUGCUUUCGGUUUCCUCAGACGCUCUGGAUUCACUGCCUCUACCUUUCGCUUCGACCCACGCUGUCAAGCCUGCAUUUCCAACUCUAAUUUCUCAAUCAAAACCAUGGUAUUUACUUAAACCGAACCAAAACCUACCAAUCUGGUCAGUUUACACCUGACUUUUAGUUCAAAGUUCAAUCACAGCUGAAUACUUUCGAGACCCUUGCAAUUCCAGAAAUCCCAGCAUAGCCAUGACAGAUUAUCUCUGAGUUCGGAAAAGUGAUUCUGGUUCCGCCAGCACUUUCACCACAUACUCCACCACAUCCUUGUCCGGCAUUUCUCCCAUCCAAUACUCGGAUGUUCACUCUUUCAGAAUCAUAGCUGCCACCUCGGCUUCCGCAACGGCAUCCCCAAGGACUUGGACAAAUCAUAGACUGUUGGUCCUCUAAAGCAUAUCGCUACUCGAUUCGUUAAGAUCUCAAAGAUCUAAGACCCACUCAAUCUUGUAUCAAGUAACUGGAGGCUUUUGGGUGUCCGGUGUGCCCAGGUGCAACGGCGGAUUCCCCAUGAAGCUUCCCCACACAAAGUAAUAGACAGAAGUACAAAAGUUCAAGCUUCACUCAUAAUCUUUCGUUUUCGUCAAUAAAUCACUUAAGCACAUCUGUUGAUGGUGUGGUCCUUGCUAGUGAAAUGCAAAUAUAUUUCUGUAGCAACUGUAGGACAAAGUACCAGGAAAUAACUUAAUCAAACAAGAGGGGCUCAUUGUAGACCUUCUCUCAGGGAGGGACAGGAACGAUCACUCUGAUGGUUUUGUAUAAAGUUUUUUUUUUUUUUUUUCAGGUAUAUCCCAAUACAAUAUUCACAUGCCAUAAGUACAUUAAGAGAGUUAUUGGUCUAUGUAAUCAUUCCUCCUGUCUUUACUAGCUGUGAAGCGAUCUUUUCCUAGUGCGACUACUCUAAAAAAUGGGAGACAAAAUUCACAGCCCUUGUUCUGUGCAAAAAACAUUUUUUAAGUUAAGUCAAUCAACUAAUAACUCCCUCAAUGUACUUUAUGGCAUGUGAGUAAUGUAUUGAAAUAGACUCAAUAGAUCUGAACCUAUCCUUUUAAGGUAGUAUUUAGGCACACAGUUACACUGUUGAAUUCUGUUUCUGUGACAUGCUACUGAUGCAGUUAUUUGUGGGCAUCUGGAUUUUUAGAUACAACAGGAAUCCCCCAAAUCUACACAGGUUGAGGUUUUAUCCAUUAGUACAUUAUAAUAUAGGUGCUGGGUUAAACCACACUUCAGUAAGCUGACCUGUAUGCUCUAUCUGUGGCUUCAUUAAUUACAGUUAGCAAGACAGUUUUAGCCCUGCAGGGCUUUUAUCGCAUCCAGUAGGGUUGUCUCACUAAUUGGAAUUAAUAAAGGUGUGAUGUGAGUGUAAAGUGUGGCCUCUACAGUACUAUUAAGAACUAUAUAUCCAAUAUCACUCAUGCAUAAUUCAUAUGACAGAAACAUUAGUAGUAGUAGUACAAAAAAUAUUGUAAAACAGAACUACUUUCAUGCUUUACAAUUUUACAAUUUAUAUGUUUUAGCAUGACUAUUUUUUAAAUGGUUUUGUUGUUGCAAAUGAUCAGGUGGAAGCAAAUAAAAAGGCCACUGCUGACUAUAUUCACAACUACCCAUUCCAUCAAGCUCCAAGUGUGCAGGGCAGCCCACCUUGGCAGGUUUCAUCACCAACAAUAACAAUGAGUCAGUCAACAAUACAUCACUAUUAAGGUCCCACAGAAGAUGUACGCUCUGUCACAGCCUAGGAAGCCUGACAUCUCACAACCAAUCUUCGUCCAAUUUCCACAAUCACACGCCAUCACUGUCAGGGUUUCCUUCACCUCCUGUUCCGGUGAAAAGCCUAAGUGUUUUUGCCUACACUGCUGAGUGGUAGCUGCCAAAUUUCCUCCUCCUUCAAAAAAAACAAAACAACAACAACAAAAAAACAUGACACAAGGGCAAAGAAAAGGGCAGGAAAGAUUGUCACUGACCUUUCCCACUCAGGUACACAUCUGUUUCAGAUGUAUUCUUCUGUGUGGCAGUCAGUCCAUUAAACAGCACACACUCUUCCUAGGCACAGUCACCCACUUCCCAUCCCCCAGGGACACUAAUACCACCCAUGAUUUAUUAUAUUCACAGACAGACAAUAUAGCAGACAAUCAAACAGUCUUACAUGUCUUUGUGGCUCCCAUCUUUAUAUAUAAGAAGUAUGUGUAUUUCGCCUGAGAGAACAGAAAAUUUAUCCCAUGACCUUGAAAAAUAGCCUUUGUGGAAAUGAAUAGGACAUAAAUUAAUGUGUACAUUGCCAGAAUACACAAACAUGGUUUUACUUUGUGCAGAAAACAUUUAGAUGAAUGAAAAAAUGUAAAAAUGUAGAAGUCAGUUAAAGAAAUAAUAUUUUUAACUCCAUGAUGUCCUCUCCUUGUUGAGUCCCACAGUAGCUUCAAAGUCAUCAAUCUUUCUCAAGAAUCCACUGCUGAUAAUAUUCAUGUUUUAAUAUUAGUGGCUGCUGCAAUGUGCCAUGGGAAGACAUUUUCCAAUAAAAUGUAUAUGGCACAAACAGAGGAUGUAAAUAUACAUGUAUAUACAGUAUAUGGCUCUAAGACAUACAGUUUUUCUGCUCUGCUACCAUGGCCUGAUCCCCCAGAGGAGAACUGACAGCUAUCUGCGCUUGAUGUAUGUGUUUUUUUCACUGUCCUAAUGAGUGGAUUUCUCUUGGUGAUGUCUAACACAAGGCCUGGAGGAGGGGAUGGACUCCAGGUCUUGCGUUAAUAUUCUCAAUCCCCCUCCCCCAGUCACACUGCUUCAUGUUCAUUGAACAGUCAGUUGCAUGCUCCUUACUUGAUUCUGUCUCAUUUUGAAAGGAUGUGGAACCAUCAGACAGUUACAGAUGUAGCACGAGAUGUUAUAUAUAUUGCUUAAGUGCACAGAGUUUAUGGUAGCCUAUUUUUUCAGGAUGUCUAUACCAGAUCCAUUUAUUUCUUCCCUAAAUGUUGCUCCAUUAGCUGUAAAAUUCACUGCUUGUCCUCAUGAUGCUACAGAUUUGACUCACAAUGAAUUAAGUGGUUUGUCAGCCAAUGUAAAGCCAAUGUAGCUGAACAUUUGGGCAUUUUUUUAAAGAGUAACCUAAUGCACUUAUUUUUUUAAACAAGGAAGAGCACUCUUCUCCACAGUUCAUUCAUAAAUCCAGCUACUUUUAGAGUAUUUCUGUGUGGCUCAAAUCAUGACAUAUUUUUAUGUGACAGAGAGCAAGUUUUUGUGUGUGUGUUUCUAUGUUGGGUCUACAUGUGGGUGUGCACACACAAGCAGUACUUGCCCAAAGGUGCAUGUGUAAAUGUAGUUGAUCCCAUGCAAACAUGAGUGAGAUAGAGAGAGGAUGAAUCCGUACAUGCUUGCAAUUGAAUAUCCUGUGAGUGGGUGGACUCCGCCAUUGACCACCUAUUGUACAGCACUUCUUGAUGUGGAGGAAGGUAGCCAUUGAUUUGAUCUGUCUGUCCAUGUGUGCUUGUGUGUGGGGGCAGCAACACUAUCUAAUUCUACCAGUGAGGGUUGAUGCAUGAUGUUUAGAAGAGAUAGUAUAGCAGGGCGGUGAAAACUUCAUGUCUGCCUUGACAGUCUGUCUAAAUGAUAACAGGGCCCUGCCAGCACAGACAAAACCAACCUGGCAGGUUGGAUGUUAUUAAAGUGGUGUCUAAGACAUAUCCUCAUUGUGCCUACCCACCAAUGUAUACUCCCUGUGGACUCAAAUGAAGAAGACCAUCCCAUGCUGUGUGCGGAGAUAAGUGCAGAAACUCAAUGGAGAAUGUACUAUACUCGCACAACUGACCAACCUGGUGCAUCUGCUUUAUAAAUACAGCACAUGUUUGAGGUUGCACAAAACCACAGGUACAGGACAUCUGUGUCUGACCUGUCAAGAGAACAGGCUGUACUGUGUUUGUUGGGACCCUGGUGAGUCACAAAACAUGGGAGGUCCCUUUGAGUGAAGAAGUGGAGUUAUGUCAAGCAGCCAUGGUUUCAGAAGCUAAAGUCGCAAUAACUUGUCCAGUAGAGAAAAUAAAUAACUGGCUGUUCAAGCAUUUCCAUUUAUUACAUUUCUCCUGGAUGAAUUAUCAACAUACAAUGACUCAAACGAUUCUGAGAAAAGUCAACGACUGGGGCAGAUCAAGAGUGUUACUGUUGUGAUGGGUGACUCAUGAACAGACAAGGCAGCAGCACAAAGACAUGUUUUGAAAUCAGGGGUCCAGCAGACAGACUACUUAUUUUGGCAUCUUGACAGGGAGGUCCUGUGCACCAAUUCGGAUAACAUUACACCUGAACCAUCUGAGCUGUAGACCAUGGUUCACUGUUGCCAGUCACAUAGGCAAUCAAAUCAAAAACUAUUCACUGAAACAAUAAGCUUAGUAUUAUUGCUAUUUGGGGUAGGUGUGGCUCAGGAGGAGGAGCGAGUUGUCCACUGAUCACAGGGUUGGUGGUUCGAUCCCCACCUCCUCCUGUCCACAUGUGGAAGUAUCCUAGGCAAGACACUGAACCACAAAUUGCUCCAGCACCCUGGUUUGCUAGCACCCUGCAUGGUAGCUCGCUGCCAUCAGUGUGUGAGUGGCAAAAACCUUGUAAAGUGCUUUGGACAAAAGUACUAGUGCUAUAUAAAUUUGGCUUAAAUGUUCCAAAUUAAAUGGGUGAUGUAAGAGACAAAAACCUGUUUGUUACAUGCAACAUCUGAGAGCUGAUUGGUUGUUUUAUCUCAGUUUGCUUUUGGUGAACCAAGACUGCAAGUAAGUAUUAAUACAUGCUAAGAGUGCCUGGCUAAUAGGAGCAAAAAAUAUUUAUUAUGUCAAUGUUUGAAUCACAAUUGAUAAAAAUCUUAACUACAUAAGUGAUUAGGUCCAAGAUAAAUACUGCUAAAAAAUUACUAAAAUUACUCAAAAGGACAUAAUUCACAGGAAUCAAUGACUGUGCCACGAUUAAGAUGAAGAGCAUCUAUAAAUAUUGAGGCAGUGCUCUUUUCUUUUUUUCUGUCCUAAAAGCAAUGUUUGUGACAAACAAAACUAGAUAGGACGGCCUUAAUAAGCCCCCAGACUAUCCUCCCUAAUCAGAUCAUUAAUCACCAUUAGUUUUGUUGGUAAUACUCUUUAAGAGUCAGAUCUUUAGAUGCUCACUAAAGAGAUACAGGCUAGAUUUACAGCAGUAUAUUUAGGUGUAAUUACAAUGAAACUAAUAUGGUUACUGUAAUAAUAAACAAAAGUAUUAUUUGAUAGUGAGCCUGGUCGAGAAGAGUCAGUAUAGGUGAACUUUAGUUCCCAUGAGCAACUGUAUGAACAACUAAGUGAAUUAAAGUUGUUUCUGUUGGUUCUAGAUAAUUUGUUUUGCAUAUAGUUUUAUUAAAAUUCACAGGACAAAUAAGGAGAGGCAAAAACUAAUACUGAAGCAGCUUUUCUUAGAAUGUAGAGAAUUCAACUAGCUUUUAUCAAGGCUGCCAUACACACACUUCCUGGUCAGUUCACUCAGUUAUGAACAUCAACUCAAAAAAAUCAAAAAAGAAAUCAAAACGCACCCAUGAACUGCAACUCAACAAACCUUUUAUUCUACUGUGUCUACUGUCUACCAUAUCUAUCUGCUGUAUCUUUACAAUGUACUGGUAUUGUAUGUGUCUUAUAUAGGCUGAUAUUCUAGCAAUGAGUCCAUUAAUUAAUCAUUAACGCAGCAAUACUGUGGAAGCCAUAGUGAUAAUGAAUAUGGAUAUUGGCAGCAUCGCUUCUGUCAAAUGGAGGCUUCAUUAUGGGCACGCUGGCACAGAGCAAGAAAUGUGUUUUUUGGCUUCUGCUGCAUCCCAUGUGUCACAGACUUGACAGCUCGCUUUCAUCCCCUCCUUUUACUGUAAUUUCCACUUGUGGUAGCCAAAAAGAAUAUGGGAUCAAACAAAAAAAAAUGUGUAUGUUAGUUUACGUUCAUCUGCUGAUUAGUUUGAGAGAAGAGCUACUAUUUAAAAUAUAAGUAGAGUUUGAUUAUGACGCAAAGCUCAAAGAACAUAUUUUUCUUAGCAUAUUUUUGCAUAAUAUAUUUCUAGAUUUUUUGCUGGGGUUGUGGCUCAGUGGUUCUCUCCCUCAGCCUACCUUCUUUGUCGACUGUGCUCAUGUCCACUGUGUUUAUUCAGGACAUGCUUGGAUAGAGUCCACCCCUUCUGACCCAAAAUAUGAAUAAGCAAGAAUGAAAACUAAAUAGAUAGUUAUAUUAUUAUGAGGGAAAAUUCCAUCAAUAGUAGUUAACUGUUAUCCCUGAAGAUUGUGUUUUGUUUAAGUGACACUAUUGGUGACAGGUGGUCAGUGCAGUGACCUAAAUCCCAUCACACUGGAAUGUGAAUCACUCCAACUUGUGAAAAUAUCAACUUUGUUUGGGCAGCGGGGUGUUUCAGUAUAACCUUUCUACCCUUGUUUGCAUGGAUUUUUUACCACCCCAAAAGAAAUGCAUGUUAGGUAUUUGUCAUGGCACAGGUAGUACUGGUAAAAUGAUUUGAUGUUAGGUCAAGGGUAUUUAAUAACCAUUAAGCCUUAUGGCCAUACCAUCUAUUUUCAGGUGACAACAUACACUGAAUGCCUUCAGCAAGAAGGAAUGUAGGCCUUACCUGAACCCCGGUGAGCUUGACUCAUUUUCCAUAGGCGCUCCACUCGUUCCCCGCAGUGUUGCACGCCCUUGCUUUCUUGGGUCGUCAACCAUGCACUGAACUCAAAAAUGGUUUCAGUUAACUUAGAUACGUCUACUUGUCUUUAACAAGUAGACGCAGAGAGAAAUUAAACCAAAAUACUUCUGGGAUGAGGGUUAUCAUUCAUUUUCUCAAAAAAAGAGUUACUGGCUAUUCUGCUGCAUUGACUAAGCCACUGCCCUCAAACUUGGAGUUGGUCUCUUGGUUCUGUGGCUGCCCAUUGCCCCUAAUCAUUAUCAAAUUUUCUCUCUCUCAGACCGCUUCUCUAUUUUUUGACCUUUAAAGGUCACUGAAUAGGUUUCUUAGGAUCUUUAGAAGCUGCAUUAUUUGAAGUUUCUGGUGGUUUUAUUCAGCCAUAUUAAGGUUGAUUGACACUUUUUCCAAACUACCAUCACGCAGGUUUCCACUUUGUCCUUACUGGCAGAAGAAGUCAUUACAGUGUUGUAUGGUUUAAUCAAAAUCACACAUUUGUCUGUAAAAACACAUUUCUAAAUUUUGUUCUGACAUCACGUUUAAUUUGAAAAUCAGAAAAUGGUGUGUUAAUUUUAAGGCAUGAAGACAUUCAGUAUAUAACACUACAGAGUAGAGUAUUAAAGGAUCAUUCUUCUUUGUCAUCUUACCUUUGAUGUUUAUUAUUUAUUCUAUUGAAACAUUAUUUAUUUUUAUGUAAUUCUUAAGUACAUGUUGUAAGAGUUCAGAAUUAACAGCAGAAAUAUUUUAAAUAUUCUUGAAUCCAAAUGCAAAUGUGUACUUCUUAACUAUGUUUUUAAACCUGUCAAUUAAAUUAAGGGCUUUAGUUAUGCAGAAUAUGAAGAGUUAAACACUUUCUCAAACAGUGUCCUCCUUUUGAAAAAUCGCCUUGUGUUCUCUCCCAGUCACAUUAAUUCUUCAAUUUAGUUCUCCACAUAAAUUAGGCUGGAGAAAAUCUAUUCUGCAGAUCCUGUCUACAGUAUUACUAGUAUUGAGUGUUCACUAAUUUAAACUGAACUCUGUUGUUUGAAAUUGUUGUUUGUUGCCUAACUAUUGGGCAAAUAAUCUUAUUUAAAGAUGGAAACUACAGCACCUUUAGAGAUCAGAUUCCAUCGGCUCAAUAUCUUAUCAUAUGGGUUUCUUUUUUUUUUUUUGCAGAACUGGGGUGGACUCAUUUAGGACAGAAGGUAAUCUGACUGUCCAAAGAUGCCAGUACCAAUUAGACAACAUAAGCAGAAAUAAAUACUAAAAUAAAUAAUCUCUUUGGUUAUGUAUUUCUCAAAUUAGUCACUGCAUUGCUUUUCUUUGUAUUUGCCUCUCUCUCCGACUCUUAAAAGAAAAGCAACAAGAGUGCAAACAUGGUUAAUAUUUGCCCGUAGAAAGAAAAUAUAUAAUUUAGCCCUGUCUCCAGCUUUUAUUGUUUUAUGACUGAAAGAUUGGUAAGUUUACUUUUUUUUGAAACCAUGUGUAUCUUCGCUAUUCGAAAGUUUUAAAAAGAGGAUUAAUGUAACUCUUCUUGCUUGUAGAAGAACAAGUAAGAGAUGACUUGUUUGUAGAUGGAUAUAUGGAGGUCAAGUUGCUGCUUCUAGCUAAUCACCCACUUGAGAUGCAACAACUACUGUGCAACAAUUCCACAACCAACAAAUCUAAUUAUAUGCUUCCACUCAACCCAGUAAUCAUUGCAAAUAUUUUGCUCACAUGACAAGUUGUUUUGGUAUUUGAAUGAUUAUCUUUCUAACAGAAAUAGAAAUAUUUUAACGACUAAAUAUUCAAUUUGAGCAACACCUUUACAAGAAAGUUGUGUUUAGUAGAGAGAGUGUUAGAUCAGGAGCAACAACUAAAGUUGUGUUUUCCAUCAUAUUUGUAAUUAAUCAGGAUGUGAUCAGUCCUGCAACUUUAACAUACUGACAUGAACAUUUCACAUAGAAUACAAUCUUCAAAGACAUGUGUACUGGCUCGAAAGAAGCACUAACAGAUAGAAGUCAAAGCCCACUGAUGUCAAGUAAACUGAUUGUGUAAGUUUUUUCUCAGUAUAGAAUAACAAAACCAUGUCAGCUUUCUAAAUGAUUGAUCACUUGAGCAUAUGGAAAAUAAAUCAUAUUAUAAUAUCAUGAUAUAAUAUGUUGAGAUUAAUGUAGUGAAACAAUGGCCAACCUAAAAAACAGAAAAAAGAAAAAUAAUGAACGACUUUGAGAGUGAAUGUGGAAGGAGACUUGAAUGGGUAUGAGAGGAAUGUGAAAGAUGGAGCUGCCUGCCACUGACCAAUGGCUGCAUGAUGAUGCAGUAACCCUAAUUAUCAGACAACUCAUUUAGCCUGACAGAAUGAUUCACAACCUCUGGAAAUAUAUGUGCUAUAUCCAUGGUGAAACUCAAUAACACACACAUACACACACACACACACACACACACACCAAGGACUACAUCAGAAACUGCUACUAUAUUGAACGAUAUGUAUGCUUGUGUGUAUCAAAAGAAGAGAACUAGCAAAUUUUAUUUUACUUUCUUUCUUUCAUCUUUCCAUCAGUGGAGAUCCAUAACUUUGAUUUUUUUUGUUUUGUUUGUUUUUUUAAACUGCGCAACUAAUUAAAUCUUUUUAAUUCUUCUAUAAUUGUUCAAAUUGCAACAUACCCUCUUUAGGGCAAGCAAUCAUUCUAUUUUGUUUAAAAAAUGAUCCAGAUUUGAUGGGACCCUUUGUUGCAUGUCAUUCCUUCAUUAAUUUCCUGUCAUCUCUCUACUGUUGCCUAUCUAAUAAAACCAUAAAAUACCCAAAUAGAUAAUUGAUCAAAAUUGUCUGACUACAAGGGUGCCUGCAAACAUUUUCCUUCAUAUCUAACACAAUGGUUUUCCAUUUUGCAUGUGAAAUUGCAGUUAAUUGUGAAACAAAAGACAUAUAAUAGAUAGCUUGUGGGAAAUGUCAUUAACUUAGCUUGAAAUUUUAAAUUUUGGCAAGUAAUUAGUAAUUUUAUAAUAGAAAUAGUUGGUCAAUUUGGUAUGCAUGUGCAUUGUCUUUGAAAACAUUGAAAAGUCAUGUGCAUUGAUAUGACUUUGAAAAGCUUUCACUUACUUGAAAAUAACACAUCGCCGUUUUUACGGAAAAUUAGUACUUGUGCGUCAUAAGAGAAAAUAAAAUACACUGGGAUAUUACAUCCUCUCUGUAACUGCAUGUCUUGCAGAAUUCAGAUAAGAGGCUGUACCUUUUUUGUUUUUUAUUAAAACACGUGAUGUAUUUUUGAAUCUGCAUCUGAUGUGUUUGAUUUGUUAUGUGCCAGUAUAAUUAUCAUGCUGUUUCUAGUGACCUCUUAGAGGUAUGCUGCGUCCCCCAUGUGGGAGUAUCAGACAGUGCUGCCCAGCUCUGCUCUGAAUGGUCCAGCUUGAGUAGAUGCUUGACUCUCAAUCAGGCUGAUCACAAUCACCUGUGUGAUGAAUGUGUUUGUGCCUAUAUAUUGUCUGCUCUGGGUUGUGAUGGUGAUUUGACAAUCUCUGACAAGGAUCUCUGUUUGAUUGAAAUGUUGCUCAAUAAACAUUUGCAGCUGUUAGUACAGUGUGUGGAUCUUUUGUUUGAUUCUUGCCUUUAGUUUGCUUUUUGAUCCAGCACCUGUAUAAGUCUUCUUCUUUUUUUUUUUUUUUGAUGUGUGUACCCUUUUUGUCUUAAACACAAACGUGAAAAUGAAUGUUGUAAGUGUGAUUCAUACCAGUGUUAUUCAGCCCAUGGCAACUCAGUUAUACUAAUUUCAAAAACACUGUUGUAGUACUGGCUGUGAUAAAUAGCAAAUGCCUAAUGCUGUAUUUUCCUUUGUUUCUCUAUCAAAGGGUUUAGGACUUCACAAGAUUAAACUUCUGCUCUGUUGUUAUUUUACAUUUAUGUAUGGACAGAUGAUCAAAAGCAGCCUUCAGAGCUUUCUGCUGUAACUGCCUGAAUUUAACUACAUUGUAAUACACCACACACACUUUUAAAAUACCUGGGCCAGAUUUUGUGUUGUAGCUGCAUAACCAAAUAGUCUUUACUAAGUCUAUUUUUAUUUAUUUUGUUAAACAUUUAUUUUUCAGUGUAACAUGCCAAACAAUAGUUUAUUUCAACAGUUUUUAUGGCUUGGUUAAGUUGUAACAGGUCAACUCAGGUCGGGCAGCUAUUUUGGUAGAUUCCAGAUGUCCAUACACCCUCAGUGCACCAUUCCACUGGCAAAAACUUUCUUUCUUGUAUCACUGUUUAAUUAAUGUAUGCAAUGAAAAAAAAGUAUAUUUUCAUGGUAAAAUGCAAGCAUCUACAAAGAUCAACAUCUAAAAAAAUAUAAUAAACUCUGACAAUAAAUCAGCUUGAACUGA